UACGUGAGGGGCAAGCGUUGUCCGGAUUUAUUGGGCGUAAAGAGCGUGUAGGCGGCCAAACAGGUCAGCUGUGAAAACUCGAGGCUCAACCUCGAGACGUCGGUUGAAACCGUUUGGCUAGAGUCCGGAAGAGGAGAGUGGAAUUCCCGGUGUAGCGGGUGAAAUGCGCAGAUAUCGGGAAGAACACCCGUGGCGAAGGCGGCUCUCGUGGAACGCAACUGACGCUGAGACGCGAAAGCGUGGGGAGCAAACAGGG
rnacentral:rRNA from 1 species